AAGAAGAAUGUUCAUGGGGUACUAAACGCGGUGAGCUGGGGAGUUCUGAUGCCGAUGGGAAUCAUGAUAGCUAGGUACUUGAAGGUGUUCAAGGUAGCAAAUCCAGCGUGGUUUUACCUACAUGUCACUUGCCAAUCCUCUGCCUAUAUCAUUGGCGUUGCUGGAUGGGGAACUGGUCUUAAUCUCGGCAGCGAUUCCACUGGAAUCGAGUAUAGCAAGCACAGGAACAUUGGCAUAAUCCUCUUCUGCUUUGCAACCCUUCAGGUAUUUGCUUUGCUCUUGAGGCCAAAGCCAGAUCACAAGUACAGACUGUACUGGAACAUCUAUCACCAUUCCAUUGGAUACGCAACCAUCGCUUUGAGCAUCAUCAACAUCUACGAAGGCUUUGACAUUUUGGACCCUGAGAAGAAAUGGGAAAAAAUUUACACUGGAAUUAUCAUUUUUUUGGGGGCCGUCGCGGCUCUCUUGGAGGUUUUGACAUGGAUCAUAGUCAUUAGAAGGAAGAAAACAGUAAACUUCAACAAGCACGCCAAUGGAACAAAUGGGACUAACGGAUAUGGCGCUUAGAAGACUGAAGACACUGUAACAUAUGACUCUAGGCUUGUCCUAGUUGGGUUUUAUUUUAUUUUAUUUUAUUUUUAAUGCAGAGAUCCUAUAUCUUUGUAGACUUUCUGUGUAGAAGCAUUUUGGUAGUGAUUUGCGAGUACAGUAGCAUUUAGGUAUAUGGGAUAGACUGGCUGUACUUUUCUACAUACAGAGAUAUUCAUUGCAUUAUUUACGUUUGUUUCCAAAAAAAAAUAAAAUAAAACCCAACUAGGACAAG
rnacentral:misc_RNA from 1 species